GCGAGGGUGGCGAAAUGGUAGACGCGGGGGACUUAAAAUCCCCUCCGGGCAACCGGGUGCGGGUUCGAUUCCCGCCCUUCGCA
rnacentral:tRNA from 1 species